UACGUAGGGAGCAAGCGUUGUCCGGAAUCAUUGGGCGUAAAGCGCGCGUAGGCGGCCCGAUAAGUCCGCUGUGAAAGUCAACGGCUCAACUGUUGAAUGCCGGUGGAUACUGUCGGGCUAGAGUACGGAAGAGGCAAGUGGAAUUCCUGGUGUAGCGGUGGAAUGCGCAGAUAUCAGGAGGAACACCUAUAGCGAAGGCAGCUUGCUGGGACGUUACUGGCGCUAAGGCGCGAAAGCGUGGGGAGCGAACAGG
rnacentral:rRNA from 1 species